GUAAAACUGUACGUGUUUCCGGUCUGCAAGACCGUGGUUUUCGCGAUCCUUCUACGUCGAUCGUUGGAUUUGUACAAAAAAAGCGCUUAGGCGCUUUUUUUUAUUGUACGGGCUGGUUCAGCAAAUUCUUUCGUGACAAGCGGAGUCACACUGGGGUUUCCCGUGGCGGUUUCCCGCCACCGUUAUUCGUCCUACGAGUCCGGACGGUUUUUUUGAGCUCGGGAGUCCGCUAAGGCCCGCCUUUUAAAAGGUAGUUAAACGGAGGGAGGUGAAGUCGUUAGUCAUCGAACGAAGACCUCCGACGGCCGCCAAUUACCGUCGUUUACGUCCACCUCACGCUACAACCCCCCCGGUGGACAGAGUACCGAGAGCACGGUCCGCGUGCGUUGUCAAGGGUCGCGCGUAGGACCGGACCCUAUCCGAAGGCGAAGGGUUUCAUUUCAUCGCGCGCGGUAGAGCCCACCGAGGGUGAAGCCGUGCGAAGGGUACGUUGGCCCCGGUCCCUAGGAGAA